UUUUCCUGGUACGAAGUUGAAAUCGGCUGCGGUUGAAACACUGGGCAAAGAAUAGUUCGACCAGAGUAUGUGGCCAGUGUUGGAUCUGCGCUGUAUGAAAGCAAUAGUCGAACCACUUCCAAGUGAUCGUUUUCUACUGCAUCAUGGAUCGGCCUACAGUAAAAGCAAAAUUAGAAUUUAAUUUGGUGUCUAGAGCCUGUUGAGCAUGAAAAUCCCAGGAAAUUAGCAGUUUCUGAGACCUCUCCACCUGGCAUCAACAGUCACUGAGAUCACAUUUCUUCCCCAGUCUGAUACUGGUCUGAACAACAACUGAGCCUCUUGACCAUGUCUGCAUGUUUUUAUGCAUUGAGUUGCUGCCACAUGAUUGGCUGAUCAGGUAUUUACAUUAAUGAGCAAGUGUACCUAAUAAAGUGGCCACCUUUAUAGCUCCUCACGUGAUCUCCAGACAAAACAUUUUGCAAUUAAUUAAAUACUUUAAAAUUUAGUCUCUUCUAUUGCAGGGAAAACAGAAAAUUUGCACUCAGAAAAACCAGAACCAACAUCAAUGACAAAAGAAUGUCCAGACAAUCUAUUUUAUUUUGGUAAUGUUAAUUGUAGUAUAAAUAUUGAUCAAGACUCUGGACAUAAUCUUCAAAAUGGUGUUUGGAAUCUUUUAAAUUCAGUUGAGGAAAUAGACAGAUUUGGUUUAAUAUUUAUGUCAAAAAGAUGGUACCGAUUAACAAUGAAAUGGUUCGCACAACACUACACUAGAAAAUUGGCCUAAAUCACAAGAUCCCAACUUGUACCUGUAACUACCUCACUCUGUCACAGGAACACAACAGACAUAAAUGCUGUGGAAAUUUGGUCCUACAGAAAGGAAGUCUUUAUUAUUGUAAUUCUACUUCGCUAAGCUAAACAAAAAUCACCAUGUAAAUUUUGGAGAGUAAAACCUACAUUUAAAAAAUUCAAUUGUUUUUAAAUUUUAGUCACAAUGCUUCUUAAGAGACUUUUCUAAAAGAGUAUAGCCUAAUGAAAAGUUUUUGCAAACAAAUCUUCACACUGAAAACUACAAAUGUUAGUUGCUUUGAUAAACGAGCAUCAAAAGGUUCAAAUAUGAAUGUAGCACAUCAGUACUGCAGGUUGAAUGGCCA